ACGGGGUGGCUGCGCCGCGGCUGGUUUUCGUCCGAGAAGGGAUGUGGGGCCGUGUGUGUGACGGAGGACGAGGCUGGCGGUGCCCGGGUCCUCGGGGAAGGGCGAGGUCCGCGCGUGACUGCCCGGUGCCCCCUGUCGCGCGGGAGCCUGGACGGCUUGGGCGCCGGUGGCUCCUUGGGCGCAGGCUCAGUUCCCGCCCUGGCGUGGAGCCUCACUGUGGCCGGAGCUGGAAUUAAGGUCCUCACAGUUGGUCUGGUCAGCCCGAGAAGAUACCAAGUCACAUCCUGGGGUUUAGGGCAGCACGUCUUCGGGGUCAUAUCUGAAUUCAGCCAGCCAGAGGCCCCGAAGCUGAAGGAUCACAGCCCGUUGUGGAGAGGAGGAAAGUCCUAGAAUGUCCAGGAAGCAGCCCGGGUCCGUCUCCCUAGUCGGAUUGUUAGACCCACCCCCUGGGGCUGUUGGGAGGAACUCGUGAGUUGUGAGAGUACAGGUCGUGGUGCCGCAGGCACUUGAGCACGGAGAGGAAAUCUGCACAGCUGCUCCUGGGCUGCGCAGGAGGAGCGGUUUAGAUGCUUAGUGACAGUGAUUCCACCUUUCUGGCUUCUCCCACAGAAACACCACUGACGCCUCAGUGAGGCUGGCGGCAGAUGAUGGCUGGAGAACUGGACGGUCGUGUAGCCCUAGAUGCCCACUCUGCAGAGGACGAGAUGGGACUUCUGAUUGUGAAGGUGGAGGAGGAAGAGGCUUCUUCCUGGGUGGAGCAGAAGAGCUUGCUGGGCCCUGAACACGCCUGCCUGUGUUUCCGUGCCUUCUGCUACCUCGAUGCUGCUGGCCCCCAGGACGUCCUGAGCCGGCUCCGAGCUCUGCCAACAGUGGCUGUGCCCCGAGACCCACAGCAAGGAGCAGAUCCUGGAGCUGCUGGUGCUUGAGCAAUUCCUGGCCGUCCUGCCUGCAGAGCUGCAGGCCUGGGUGCGCGCACAGCGUCCACAGAGUGGGGGAGAAGCUGCAGCACUGCUGGAGUUUGUGCAGGGGCCCCUGGAGGAGGCGCUGCUGCAGGUUUCAGGUGACCAAGCACUUUUGGGUUAUGAGGCAGGAGAGGGGAUGGCAGCCCAGAGUUCACAGAGUGGCCAAGUCCCAGCAGUGAAGCCUCUGUGCAAGCAUGAAUCUCGGGGAUCCUGGCCCUUGCAGGACACAGUAGCUGCCUAAGACGACAGCUGCAGAGAAGAUGCAGUGGCAGCUGACGAGCUUCCGCCAGAGUCCCAGGUAAGGUGAGUCCCUUCCCUUACUUCCUUCAUUACUGUCCUUCCUGCAGAGCUGUCAUCCUGUCUAUGCCGCCUGUGCCGCCAUCAUGGAUCCCCCACCUGGUCCUAGGGGGAUGUGAAUUUGCUCUUUCAGUCCCAGGUUGCUUACUGUCAGCUUCACCGAAGUGUGCAGUUUCAUUGCUGGCUUGCAGAACUGUCUGUUGCCCAGAUACUACCACUCCAUCCCUUUGGUGGUCUUCUUCUGUUGCUGUGGAGGCUGCUGAAAGUGGAAGACGUCCCUGACGCUAUCCCCUGGGAAGACCCAGCUGGUUUCCUCCCACGUGACCCUUUGCAGAGAUGAAAGGCAGCCAAGCUGGGGCUGCGCUGGCUCCCUGGGUAAGACCAAGGGACUCCGGGGCUCCGGAGGGGUCUCUGCAUGCUUUGCAGUGAGACCUGCUGGCCCUGGCAACCUGUCAGAACUGGUGAUCCCUGUGCCACAUAGAUUCAGAGCGACCAUUUUUAAAGCCACCAGCCCUUCAGCCUCCACUCUUGUUUUCUUAUGGGCUGUGCCGGGGUUCUAGUCUGAGUGCGUGGAUGAAGCAGCUGAGAUGCCUGGCACCGACCUGGCUCAGAGAAGACACACAGCACAGUUAAUUUCGGGGCUGGGGCUGGGACUGGGGCUGGGGCUUAGCAGGGGAGUGCACAGCGCUGGUUCAGUGCCUAGCUCAGGGACAUAGUGCAGUCAAAUACAUAUUUGCUCCCCUUCCAUUCCUGCCCCAGUAGCCAUUCUGUUUGGGGACCCUGUCUGUCUCUGGAUGCAGUCCAAGAGCACCUUCCUUGUCUUUGGUCACUGGCCAGGUUCAGAGUUGUAACACUUUGGAAGUUCUUCAUCUUGCCCCGUUCACUGCCACCUUCCACUCAGCCCCCUCAGCAUCUAAUCCUCCUGGGUGGCCCUGCCUUUCUUUUCUUAUUGCUUAGUGACCCUCCUCCCCCAAACCAGCACCACGUGACACCCUGGCACAGUCCUCGGCCUCGUCCCCCCUCCCUGCAUUCCCUCCCGUGCCUUCUGCCAGUGCCCCUGCUCCGUUCUCACCUCUCUGCUCCCCAGCACCGUUCCUCCCAUCCUGGUUCCUGCACUCGAAUCCUCCUUGCUCGCAGAGAGCCCUGCAGUUCUCGCCUCCCUGGUGCACAUCACACAGCUUUCCUCCACACUGGGCCUAACCCACCGUUGUUGGCCCUGGCUGUUUCAGGUGGUGAAAUGCAGGUGAAGGUCAGGGGCUUGUCUCCAGCUGAGGAGUGUCCAGGACAAGAGCCUGGGCAGACUCCAUGCCACCUGGAUGGGGACAUUGCCCAGGGUCCUGCUUGUGCUGAGGCUGGUGAACAGGAGGACAGGUUACAAGGAAAGCAGAACAAUGCUGUGAGGAGUGGGCAUCAUGUUUGUCUCGAAUGUGGAAAGAGCUUUGCUCAAAGUUCAGGCCUGACCAAGCACAGGAGGAUCCACACAGGUGUGAAACCCUAUGAGUGAAGAGUAUGGCAAAGCCUUUAGUCACAGAUCAGACCUUGUCAAAUACCAGAGAACACACACAGGCGAGAAGCCCUACGAGUGUGAAGACUGUGGGAAAACCUUCAGCCAGAGCUGCAGCCUCCUGGAGCAUCACAAGAUUCACACUGGGGAGAAGCCAUACCAGUGUACCAUGUGUGGCAAAGCCUUUAGGCGGAAUUCACAUCUCUAGAGACAUCAGUGGCUCCAUGGGAAUAAAAAUGAGCUUGGAGAGGUAGGUAAGGCCAAGAUGGAAAGCCAGCGGGAAAAUGCCGAAACUCCUGUGUCUUACAAAUGUAGAGUGCAAGAGAAGUUUCACUCAGAAAAUAGGACUUACGGAAAAUCAAAAAAUCCACACUGGGUAGAAACCCUACCAGUGUGACACAUGUGAAAAGGCUUCACUCAAACUUCAUACCUCAUUCAACUUAAGAGAAGCCACAUAGGGAAGAAAAUUCGGUCAUAGUGACCACUUGUAUGUAUAGGAAAGUUGCUGUUCAUUUGUCAUUGAAUUAAAGGCACCUGGAGCCUCACUGUCUAUGGAAUUUGUAAGCUGGGGUUUUAUUUACUAAUAGACAUCAGGUGUUUUCAAAAUACAUUCUGGCCGAGGUGAAUCGUCUGUAUUUUAGAAGGUGUUUGGAACAGAGCUGAGUCCAUACGAGGCUGUGGGAGAGUUUUUUGGAGGUGUAGGACCUCAGUGUUUCUUUCUCACCCACUGGAACUAAAUGAGCCUCCAGACUCACUAAUUUCUAUCAGCCUGCACUUUAAGAUGUCCUCCUGCUGCCAGGACCAUACUUUUUCAUUGUAGUGAAUGCAAUAUGAUUGGUCAGAUUCAUGAAGUCUCACGGUCCCCUCUGUGCCUUGUAUACAAGUGCUAAUGUGCAUUUAUUAAGUGCACCGUGAGGUUACUUACAUAACCUAAAAUCUCAUGUCUAUACUUUUGUAGAACUUUUUAUCAAGAUCAAUUUGCUUGUACCUAAGAGUUGAGGUUCUAAGUUCUGAGUCAGUCUACGUGUUUUUUUCCAUAUACAUAGGAUUGAUAGGGUGGGAGGAAGGUGAGAUAACUGAUAGAAUUGAUUUUGUUGCCUAGCCAUUCUAUUCAGAAUUCUUAAAGAGCUUCAUCAUUGAAUCAUCAAUGCAUGCUAUUCAUGAAUUCAGUUCUUUAAUUUGUCUCUGAUGCUGUUUGUGCUACUCUUGAGGGAGAAAGGUUUUCCUGUUCAGUUGGUAUGAAAAUCAGUUAUGCAGUUGGAAUAAAAUGAUUCAUUUUCUGAGCUUAA